AAUAUUGGACAAUGGGCGAAAGCCUGAUCCAGCAAUGCCGCGUGAGUGAUGAAGGCUCUAGGGUCGUAAAGCUCUUUCAGCGGGGAAGAAGGGAAACUUGACGGUACCCGCAGAAGAAGCACCGGCUAACUCCGUGCCAGCAGCCGCGGUAAUACGGAGGGCGCAGGCGUUGUUCGGAAUCAUUGGGCGUAAAGCGCGCGUAGGCGGCCAUUUAAGUCUGGUGUGAAAUCCCGGGGCUCAACCCCGGACGUGCACUGGAUACUGGAUGGCUAGAGGGCGAGAGAGGAAAGCGGAAUUCCUGGUGUAGGGGUGAAAUCCGUAGAUAUCAGGAGGAACAUCGGAGGCGAAGGCGGCUUUCUGGCUCGUUUCUGACGCUGAGGCGCGAAAGCAUGGGGAGCAAACAGGAUUAGAUACCCUGGUAGUCCAUGCCGUA
rnacentral:rRNA from 1 species